rnacentral:misc_RNA from 1 species
UGAGAUCUGGCAUCUUGAUAAAAUCAGAGUCGAAAUGCCUGAGUAAGAAUGUUUUUAGGAUUGUGGGAGCACAGAGUGCGGAACAAUCCGUAGGUAUCA